AUCCAGCUGACGAGCCCCAAAUAGGACGAAAAGCGUGUCCUAGAU
rnacentral:hammerhead_ribozyme from 1 species